GUUUCAGUAGCUCAGCUGGAUAGAGCAACGCCCUUCUAAGGCGUGGGUCGGGGGUUCGAAUCCCUCCUGGAACG
rnacentral:tRNA from 3 species